GAUGAACGCUGGCGGCGUGCCUAAUACAUGCAAGUCGAGCGAACAGACGAGGAGCUUGCUCCUCUGACGUUAGCGGCGGACGGGUGAGUAACACGUGGAUAACCUACCUAUAAGACUGGGAUAACUUCGGGAAACCGGAGCUAAUACCGGAUAAUAUAUUGAACCGCAUGGUUCAAUAGUGAAAGACGGUUUUGCUGUCACUUAUAGAUGGAUCCGCGCCGCAUUAGCUAGUUGGUAAGGUAACGGCUUACCAAGGCAACGAUGCGUAGCCGACCUGAGAGGGUGAUCGGCCACACUGGAACUGAGACACGGUCCAGACUCCUACGGGAGGCAGCAGCAGGGACUCUUCCGCAAUGGGCGAAAGCCUGACGGAGCAACGCCGCGUGAGUGAUGAAGGUCUUCGGAUCGUAAAACUCUGUUAUUAGGGAAGAACAAAUGUGUAAGUAACUAUGCACGUCUUGACGGUACCUAAUCAGAAAGCCACGGCUAACUACGUG
rnacentral:rRNA from 1 species